rnacentral:scRNA from 1 species
GUGGAGUUGACGGUGUAGAGCUUGGCCGAACC